AGCCUACUCUAGCCCAACCCCCAACACAAUUGAGCCACCUCUGCCCACCAAACUAAAACAUUCUCCCAAGGUCCAGUAUAGAGAUAGAAAGGCCCCCCCCCCCGGCGCAAUAGAGAUUAUGUACCGUAAGGGAAAGAUGAAAUAGCAAUGACAAACCAAGCACUUAACAGCAAAGACCAAUCCUUGUACCUUUUGCAUCAUGAUUUAGCAAGAAUCAAUCAAGCAAGGCGCCAACUUAAGCUUACAACCCCGAAACCUAAGCGAGCUACUUACGAAUAGCUACUUAAUGAGCAAACCCGUCUCUGUUGCAAAAGAGUGGGAUGAUUCGUUAGUAGAGGUGAAAAGCCAACCGAGCUAGGUGAUAGCUGGUUGCCUAUGAAAUGAAUCUAAGUUCUCCCUUAAUUCACCUCCAAAGGCCCCACUUAACCCCCAUGAAGCGAAUCAAGGACUAUUUAAAGGAGGUACAGCUCCUUUAAAAAAGAACACACUCUCCUCUAGCGGAUAAAUCAGCUUUCCCCUAUCCUACUGUGGGCCUUCCAGCAGCCAUCACCAAAGAGUGCGUCAAAGCUCCAUAAAAAAAAUUUCCAAACUAUAUGACUCCCUUCCCCAUAAUAGGCUAUCUUAUCAAAAUAUAAGAGAACUUAUGCUAAAAUGAGUAACUAGGAACCUCCUCCACGGCGCAAGCUUACAUCAUUACAUUAUUAACAAACUCUGAUAUUUUCUAAUUAACAACAAGACCAAAUAUCAUAAACUCUGUUAACCCGCCUAUGGAGCGCCUUCAAAGGAAGAUUAAAAUCUGUAAAAGGAACUAGGCAAACCCAAGGCCCGACUGUUUACCAAAAACAUAGCCUUCAGCAAACCAAGUAUUGAAGGUGAAGCCUGCCCAGUGACAGCCUGUUCAACGGCCGCGGUAUCCUAACCGUGCAAAGGUAGCGCAAUCAAUUGUCCCAUAAAUCGGGACCUGUAUGAAUGGCCAAACGAGGUCUUAACUGUCUCUUACAGAUGAUCAGUGAAAUUGAUCUCCCUGUGCAAAAGCAGGAAUAAACUCAUAAGACGAGAAGACCCUGUGGAACUUCAAAAUCAACAGCCACUCUCCCUCACAACCUCCCCACCAGGUAUAUCUUCUCCACGGACUGUAUUGGCCUGUAUUUUUCGGUUGGGGCGACCUUGGAGAAAACCCACCCUCCAAAAACCAGACCACCCCUCUUAACCAAGAACCACCCAUCAACGUACUAACAGUAACCAGACCCAAUAUAAUUGAUUAAUGGACCCAGCUACCCCAGGGAUAACAGCGCAAUCUCCCCCAAGAGCCCCCAUCGACAGGGAGGUUUACGACCUCGAUGUUGGAUCAGGACAUCCUAGUGGUGCAGCCGCUACUAAGGGUUCGUUUGUUCAACGAUUAAUAGUCCUACGUGAUCUGAGUUCAGACCGGAGUAAUCCAGGUCGGUUUCUAUCUAUGAUAAACUCUUUCCAGUACGAAAGGACAGAAAGAGUGGGGCCUAUACUAAACGCACGCCUCCGUCCCAAGUAAUGAACCCAACUAAAUUACUAAAAGCUACAUCACUUAAUAUUUAAUCCUAGAAAAGGACC
rnacentral:rRNA from 1 species